ACGAGUUUGAUCAUGGCUCAGAUUGAACGCUGGCGGAAUGCUUUACACAUGCAAGUCGAGCGGCAGCGCGGGGGCAACCCUGGCGGCGAGCGGCGAACGGGUGAGUAACAUAUCGGAACGUACCCAGUCGUGGGGGAUAACUAUCCGAAAGGAUAGCUAAUACCGCAUACGUCCUGAGGGAGAAAGCGGGGGAUCGCAAGACCUCGCGCGAUUGGAGCGGCCGAUAUCGGAUUAGCUAGUUGGUGGGGUAAAGGCUCACCAAGGCGACGAUCCGUAGCGGGUCUGAGAGGACGACCCGCCACACUGGAACUGAGACACGGUCCAGACUCCUACGGGAGGCAGCAGUGGGGAAUUUUGGACAAUGGGGGCAACCCUGAUCCAGCCAUUCCGCGUGAGUGAAGAAGGCCUUCGGGUUGUAAAGCUCUUUCAGCAGGAACGAAACGGUGGUCCCUAAUACGGACUACUAAUGACGGUACCUGAAGAAGAAGCACCGGCUAACUACGUG
rnacentral:rRNA from 1 species